GACGUAGGGCGCGAGCGUUGUCCGGAUUUAUUGGGCGUAAAGAGCUCGUAGGCGGCUUGUUGCGUCGGCUGUGAAAACCCGCAGCUCAACUGUGGGCUUGCAGCUGAUACGGGCAGGCUAGAAUUCGGUAGGGGAGACUGGAAUUCCUGGUGUAGCGGUGAAAUGCGCAGAUAUCAGGAAGAACACCCGUGGCUAAGGCGGCUCUCUAGUACGGUACUGACGCUGAGGCACGAAAGCGUGGGGAGCAAACAGG
rnacentral:rRNA from 1 species